AAUUACUUUUCAAAAUCAAUCCCUAUGAAUUGCUCCCCAGACGUGGUGCCCUGUCAUUAGAUGCUGAAGAAAUAUUUGCUCCUCGAAUUAGCUGUGGAUGGGAUCCCAUCUUCCUCACCCGUCAUAUGCUUCUGUGUGCUUCCUUCUGUUGUUAAAACCUCUGCGAGGGCCUAGAACGAGGCACGUUGGGCCUCCUCACCUUCGGUUCCCUGAGCAGCCUGCCUAGGAGCCUUUGGAGUUCCCCGCCCGCGCCUUCUCGCGUGUGCCGUGUGGGUGCUGCCUCGGAGCUCCAGGUCGCAUUCACGGUGCUGAGAAACUUGAAGUACUUUCUCCCGAGAUGUGGGGCAGGAGAGGGCUGAGGUGUUCCUCCUGCGGUGUUAAGAGUUGCCUCCUACCUUCCCAGCAGGAAAGAAAGCCCGACUGGGAAUUUCACAGCUUGCUUAUUUGAGGAGAACAGAUUACUUCUUAGCUGGGCUGAACGUAAGCUUGAAUUCCUUGGAACAAUGUGAUGUAUUCUACCUAUGAAGUUCCCACCUCCUGGGAUCCAUUGCUUCAAAAGAACAGCUGAUGCUUUGAGGCUCUGCAAUGAGCAGCACUGGUGAAUUGGUACCUGGCUUCCCUUUAUUAGACCAGCUCAAGAUGCAGAUUAGCCCUGAGCUAACAUCUGCUGCCAAUCCUCCUCUUUUUGCUGAGAAAGACUGGUCCUGAGCUAACAUCCGUGCCCAUCUUUCUCUACUUUAUAUGUGGGACGCCUACCACAGCAUGGUGCGCCAAGCAGUGCCAUGUCCGCAUCCGGGAUCCAAACCGGCGAAUCGUGGGCCACUUAUGCGGAACGCGCGAACUUAACCGCUGCGCCACGGGCCAGCCCCUGUGGACCUAUUUUAAAACCACCGGAGCAAGGGACCCACACUUCUUCCAUUUCACGGGGUUCUGCCAUCUCCUAAGACCUAGAUUCUUUAGCUUCCAACAGAGAGAAGAUGAACAUGUGGAAAAGGCAGACCAGCUUCUUAAAAACACUGAUCUGAAAGUAACAUAUAUCACGUCCAUUCUCAUUUCAGUGGUGGUGAUCAUAUGGCCACCUCUGGAUUCAAGGGGGGCUGCAAAAUGUCGUCUCUGGCUGGGCAGCCAUUUCCCAGUGACAACACUCUGCACCCCCCAUUCUUCCCCAAAUGUUAGCUUCUUCAAGGUAGGGACUAUCUUUUCCUUCUUUGUAUCCCCCAUUAUACAAAUAGCACAGGCCUUGUGCAGAAGAGGGGUUCUUUAAAUAUUUCAUGAAUGAAAGAAUACAUGAACGAUGGGAUGGUAGCAUUGUUUUUCUGUAUAUUUCAAAAGAUAAGCCCAGGCUUGGUUCUCAACCAGAAUACACAUCAACUAUGCUACUCAAAUCCUAUUUACAACUCAGCUGUGGCAUAUGCAUCUAUGCUUAGAACUACCUAGGCAUGAUGGUUCUCUUAUUUCUUAUGAAUUAUUUAUCUUCCCCCCUCUGAACUUUCUUCAAAUGGCAGGUUGCAAAGGACUAGUUCUUUAUAAAAGAAUAUUAUAUAAAGGCAAGAAUGUUCAAAGCUUCUCUGCAUCACUACACAAACAAUUCAACGAAGAUACUGCCAAGUGCUAAAGUGAUGGGAUCACAGGGUAGCAGAGAUAAGAAAUAAAUUGUCAUAGCAACCAGAAGACCUCAGUUGGAAU
rnacentral:lncRNA from 1 species